CUAAGGCACCCACACAGCACUCAGAGAAAACAUUAAGAACAUUCCCACUUCGUCACAAUAGGUCUUUAUUCGUGUGUCUGCUGUACCAUCUACAAGCCAACCAUACCUUUCAACUGUAAGAAACAAUAAUCCAUUAUCUGAUGAAAAGGAGCUAGAGCCAGGGAAACACCUGUCUGUGUGGACCAAAUGGAGAAUCUUGUCUAUUUAGGAAGUUCAAAGAAACAUCAUUCUUCAGUGAUUCACAAUCAAUUGGACCUUUCAAACUGUUUACCAGAAAAAGAAAAAUGAAGGACUGAUAUGAAAAUUAAAUUCUACAAUCUAACAGGACAAUUGUGUAGAACUGGGAUCUUAGUCUUGUACUAUAUCUACCAAACUAUACAGUCUAUUCUUCCUUUAAAGAAUGGUAAGCCUAAGUGAUCCUCUUACGGUCAGAUUGAA